GUUUUCACGAAUGUAUUAAAGAGAUUUGAUCUGAUAUUCUCAUUUAAAUAUGAAUAGGUAAAUAUGGGCGGGUUUGGUCACAUAAACCUAAAUUUUUUUCGGGCGGCUUUGAGCGGUUUGGUAAUGAAAGGGUUAAGUCACAUACCAUUUUCCAAUUCGCU